rnacentral:lncRNA from 1 species
AUGGACUCUAAGAAAUCAAAAAUGUGGACUGAUGCGAUGGAAGAGGAGAUGAACUCUUUGACAGAGAAUGAGACUUUCACUCUGACCCCACUGCCAACAGGCAAACAAGCAGUGGGAGGUCGCUGGGUAUAUGCAGUGAAAGAGAGCACAGAUGGAUCUGAGACUUGUAAAGCCAGAUACGUUGCAAAGGGGUAUGGUCAAGUGGAAGGGAUUGACUAUAAAGAGACUUUUUCACCGACAGCCAACAUGACCUCUGUCCAAGCAUUGAUGCAGGUGGCUGUACAAGAGGAUCUUACCCUACACCAAAUGGAUGUAAAGACUGCUUACCUCCAUGCUCCUAUGGACUGUGAGGUAUAUAUGGAGCAACUGGAAGGUUUUGAGAUCAAGUCAAAAACAGGAGAACAACUAGUGUGUAAACUCAACAAGUCAUUGUAUGGUUUAAAACAGUGCGGGCGUAACUGGAACAUGUUACUGCAUGAUCACCUUACAGAGAAUGGUUUUGUACAAAAUGAUGCUGAUCAUUGUGUCUACAGCAGAGAAUCUGACAAAGAAAAAGUGAUUCUGUUAGUAUGGGUAGAUGACUUAAUCAUAGCGGCGAGUAACAACACCUUACUCAGUGAGGCAAAAGAAAUGUUGAAGAGAAGGUUUAAGAUGAAAGAUAUGGGUCCACUUAAACACUUCCUGGGCAUCGACUUUAGACAGAGUGAGGGAGAGAUCAAAAUGACUCAAAAGAGACACAUAGAGAAGAUGUUAGCGAAAUUUGGAAUGUCCGCAUGCAAACCAAGAUCCACCCCAUGUGAGCAAAGGUUAAACUUUGACAGUGAGGGUGAAGUUAUUGACUCAACAGGAUAUAGAGAGAUAGUAGGUAGCUUAAUAUACAUUAUGACAUGUACCAGACCUGACCUGAGCUGGGUUGUUAGUAAACUAUCACAACACCUAGCAGAACCAAAGCAGCAGCAUUGGGCUACAGCAAAACACCUACUGAGGUACUUAAAGGGUACUAUAGAUCAAGAACUACACUUCCAGAAAUGUGAGGGAAGCCUACAGCUUGAGGGAUAUAGUGACGCUGAUUGGGCAGCUGACACAAAUGACAGGAGGAGCACAACUGGAUACUGUUUCAGCUUAACUGAGAAUGGUCCAGUUAUAUUGUGGAAGAGUAGGAAACAGCCAACGGUGGCACUAUCAACCUGCGAAGCUGAGUAUAUGGCUCUAGCAGCCACUACUCAAGAGAGUAUGUACCUUGUACAACUACUUAAAGGAAUAGAUAGUAGUAACCACACACACACACACACACACACACACUAUGAACUAUUUUCUUACUUUCUUACUACUUUGUUCACGUCGCCUAAAUACUUUUUUGGCGUUUUUGAGCACUUUUUAUUUUUUGUUUACGCUGGUCUCCAUGGCGACGAGGAGUCGCAUUGUCCGUCGCCGUCGGACUUCGUCCGUGUUGUCUGCCACGGGAACUUUCCAGUGUUGUCGCCAUCACUGUCUAUAUUCCUCACAGUGGUCUUCAUCAUCACCAUCACUGUCUAUAUUCCUCACAGUGGUCUUCAUCAUCACCAUCACUGUCUAUAUUCCUCACAGUGGUCUUCAUCAUCACCAUCACUGUUUACAUUUAUGAUGUCCUAUUUAUUCUCCUGUACAGCACUUAGGUCAACUUUGGUUGUUUUUAAAGUGCUUAACAAAUAA